rnacentral:pre_miRNA from 1 species
UGAGAAAAUAUAUAUGGACUUAUGGCCUCAUUAAGGAUAUGACCUUUAAUAGAGCAGAAUGGAAAACUAAGAUCCGUGUAGCUAAUCUCAAUUAGUUGGGAAAAGGCUUUGAUGAUACAUAUGAAAUUUUAACCAUUGGAUGUAAAAUCUAAAGGAUUGAAGUGUAUCACAAUCAUCAUCAUCAUCAUUUUAGCUUUUUUCCAAUUAAUUGGGGUUGGCUACAUGAAUCUUGGUUCUUCAUUCUGCUCUAUUAAAGGCCAUAUCCUUAGUGAAGCCAUAAGUCCCCAUAUUUUUUCA